GUGUACAUAGCUGGAAAGCACCCAUUAUAUAGAUGGAUCUAUUAAGAGGAUGCUGAACUGACGAAGAAAGUCUGUCACAAAUGCUACUUAGCAGCUACGCUGUCGGGUAGCUGGCGCCAUCUCUCGGGAUCGAGUCAAACAAAAACAAGGAUAGAUGACAUAAAAAAGACAAUGAUAGACGUAUGUCUUUCUCUUCUGGUGCAAAGUUUGGGAACUACGUAGUGCUUCGUACAGUGUUUUGACAAGAAAAAUAAUCUUUGUGUCUACAAUUUACAGGUUCUAUCUAGCGGGCCAAAGUGUGUUUUGUGACAUAUACACUGUUAAAUCUCUAGACAUACUUGAUAAUAGAACCGUUUUCUUAUUUGUGCAGUACAUUUGACAAAAGUCAUUAUUCAGACGUUUUACUAUUUUUCUGAUAAAACAGGACGGUUCAGCAUCCUCUUAAUGUCUCCGGUAAAUGGAAGGAACGUAUAUUGUAAAAGUCUCGUUUAAAAAAAUAU